GAUGAACGCUGGCGGCGUGCCUAAUACAUGCAAGUCGAGCGAACGGACGAGAAGCUUGCUUCUCUGAUGUUAGCGGCGGACGGGUGAGUAACACGUGGAUAACCUACCUAUAAGACUGGGAUAACUUCGGGAAACCGGAGCUAAUACCGGAUAAUAUUUUGAACCGCAUGGUUCAAAAGUGAAAGACGGUCUUGCUGUCACUUAUAGAUGUAUCCGCGCUGCAUUAGCUAGUUGGUAAGGUAACGGCUUACCAAGGCAACGAUGCAUAGCCGACCUGAGAGGGUGAUCGGCCACACUGGAACUGAGACACGGUCCAGACUCCUACGGGAGGCAGCAGUAGGGAAUCUUCCGAAAUGGGCGAAAGCCUGACGGAGCAACGCCGCGUGAGUGAUGAAGGUCUUCGGAUCGUAAAACUCUGUUAUUAGGGAAGAACAUAUGUGUAAGUAACUGUGCACAUCGUGACGGUACCUAAUCAGAAAGCCACGGCUAACUACGUG
rnacentral:rRNA from 1 species